GGUGGAAGCGGUCCCUGAUUGGCUGGGAAUUAUGGGCAGAAGUGACGUCAGUCCGGGCCUCCACUGAGGGAGGGAACAUUCCCUGAUUGGCUGAGAAUCCAGGGCGGAAGUUGCAUCACAAAGUGUGUUACACGAGGGCGGAAACACUCCAUGACUGGCUGGAAAUCCGGGGCGGACAUGACGUCAGGGCAUGCCUUCAAUAAGGGCGGAAACACUCCCUGAUUGGCUGGAAAUCCAGGGGUGGGCUCCGGGCUGCGCGGCAGGGCCUUCCCCAGGCUGGGGCUGGGACGUGCGCGCCGGGAGGGGCGGGUUGGGACUGGCGGGUUGGGGCUGGGCGCAGGUGCGAGCUUGGAAACAGAGAAGAGCUGGGGAAGGGCGUUCGUCCUUGUAGCUCGCGGAGGUGUUUUUGAUUGAACACGAUCUUAACUGUAAUGGUGAAUUCACCGCAUGUGGCUUUGCGGAGUGGCUCCCACGAUCAGAACGUUUUUCUCCUUUGUCACAGACAUGAGACAAGCUCUCUGCAGAGAGAUGGAAUUCAUUGGAUUUUUUAAUUUAGAGAAGCUUGUCUGCAGCUUUGCUUUGUGGUGCUGAUCUUCGGAGAGGCAGAUUCUUAACAAGAUACAACCAAAUUGCAUUUCAAUGUCUAGUUUUAUAUGUUAAAGACACGCGGUGUCUGCGUAUGGCAAGGGGGCGAUCUACUUAACCCCCGCCAUGGGCAAGGACACCUUCUGGUUAUAAACGUGAAAUCAGUGCGAUAAAAUAAAAGGCUUCUGUCUGAGGCAGCACAACUAAAAUGUUCUUCAUGGGAAGAGCUUAUUAGCUGCUUUUUUUUUUUUUUUUUUUUUUUUGAGGGGUGGGAGGAUAAAUUUAUGGGUUUUGUUUUUUGGACUGCUGGACUUGACAAGCACUCACCAGCCUCUUAAUACAGUGGGGAGGAGCUUACUGCUGUCUAAUCUGAUUUGAGAACAGGAAACACGCAAAUACCGGUCAGGGUUUCAUUAUCAACAAAAUGUAUAGUUGCAGAAGAAAAUGCCAUCUUACAGGCACCUUUCCUGAAAGCCUUCAAAGGUAGGGAUUCUAAUCAGCAACUCUAAAGUAUCGUAGAUUACCCUGAGUUGCAGGGGACCCACGAGGAUUACCAAGUUCAACCCCUUGCUCCACACAGGACCACCCAGAAAUCAGACCGUACAUCUUGGAGCGUUGCCCAAACACUCCGUGAACUCCAGCAGGCUCGGUGCUGUGACCGCUGUCCCGGGAGCCUGUUCCAGCGCCCAGCCACCUCUUGGUGCAGAACCUUUUGCUAACAUCCAGCCUGACCCUCCCCUGUCACAGCUCUAUGCCAUUCCCUCGGGUCCUGUCGCUGUCACUUGAGAGAAGAGAUCAGCACCUGCCCCUCUACUCCUCCCUCUCAUUGUUUGGGUGUCUUUGCUGCUACAAUCAAACUCAGAGAUUGGUGAUGCAUUAGAGCUUCUGUAUCAGGAUCGUAGAAUAACUGUGAAGAUUCAUGCUGGCCCAAAGUUUGCUGCUUACUCGACGCUCAACCCCUCAGAAGUGAAAUCUCUCCGCACUGAAUAUGGGGAUCUGGAGUGCUGCAUUGAGGUUGUGGACAGUGUACAAGAUGCUGUUGAACAUAUCCACAGGUACAGAAGUUCUCACACGGACAUUACUGUCACAGAGAAUGGAUUCAUUCGUCAGGAAAGACGACCAUGAAAUCCGAUGGCUGUGGACAACCAUCUACCAGAUGGUUGUUGCAGAUGCUUUUGGUCAACUUCAUUCGUCUUCUUAGCUCGCCUUUUCCUAUAUCUUGAGUUGAAUUUUUGUGCAGUGCUAUGUUUGCAGUGGUAACGUUGUGGCCGAGGUGUUUUUGAUUAAAAAUGAUCUUAUCUGUAAUAGUUAAAUCACCGCAUGUGGCUUUGUGGAAUGACUCCCACAAUUAUAACAUUUUUCUUCUUUAUCACAGAUAUGAGAAAAGCUCUUUUCAGAGAUGGAUAAGGAAUUAAUUAUACCUCUGCCUUAUCCUGUGAGAGCAGAAGACAUGGAGUAAAUGGAAAUUGCAAUUCUCAGGAGACGCACUAAGAGUCUUGGGUUCCUUUUCUGCUUUCCCCCUAAGGCCUUGGGUACAUUGGGUUCACCCUGGGAAGGGCAUGUUGCUCAGGGCAGUUAUUUCCUACCUGAGACAACGUGGGGUGUGUUUUUCUGCUGUUUUUCAGUGUGGUUCGCACUGCUUCCGUUAUUGAGAAAAUGGUUUGGGAAGAUGUCUGCCGUUUCUCAGGAUUUUCUGCCACUGCCUGCUGGCAGAAAAAAUCAGUAAUGCAGGUGGAGCCAUGUAGGACUUCCCCGAGGUAAGCCUUCAACAGACGGGGACCCCUAAACUUGUGCGCUGAGCAUUCAAGACAAAUGUCCGUGGCACAAAGAUCAAGGACGACUUCUCAGAGGUAAGCAGCUUUCCCUUUGUUUCCCCAUCCUCUCAGGAGCCGUCUUUACUAUGGUUGUACACACUUCAGGCUCACAACACUUGUUUUCUCCUCUACUUAGUAUUGCUAGUCCCUGCCUGGUGGUGGGUCAAAGUCUACGGGUUGAUGUGUUUCCAAGUUAAAAGAAAUAAGUAUGUCUAUUUAAGGUGACAAUUAGUAGGAUCAUUUAAAGUAAAUUAAUCUAUAUAGUAGUACGUACCUUUAUUGCAUGCAGCUCUUCUUCAGGUGAGUAAUUCUUAUAGCAUAAGUAAUUCUUUUGCCAUGUUUCAUUCAUGAUGUUUGUAGCGUGUCUCUUUAUGUGUGUGUUUGGCCUGGAGCUGUCCUGCCUGGCAGUUAGUGAUGGUAGCUAAAGUGGUGUUCCAUCAGUGCAAUAAUACAUUGUCCUGACUGUUUUGGAAAAGAUAUCUGGUCUGUCUCUGGGCGAAUACUCAAGCUCUGGGCGAGUACUCAAGGGCAGCUGGCACAGAGUCUUUUUGCCUUUUUUCCAGCAGUAGGUAAACAUUAGGAGGAACCAGUCAAAGGAAACAGCGCUUUCUGGAACCGUCAAGUUCUUGUUCGGCAACGUAGUGACUGGUUUGAUCUACUUCACAGAUGGAGAG